GUGGGGAAUAUUGGGCAAUGGGCGAAAGCCUGACCCAGCAACGCCGCGUGAAGGAAGAAGGUUUUCGGAUCGUAAACUUCUAUCCUUGGUGAAGAUAAUGACGGUAGCCAAGAAGGAAGCCCCGGCUAACUACGUGCCAGCAGCCGCGGUAAUACGUAGGGGGCAAGCGUUGUCCGGAAUGAUUGGGCGUAAAGGGCGCGUAGGCGGCCUGGUAAGUCUGGAGUGAAAGUCCUGCUUUUAAGGUGGGAAUUGCUUUGGAUACUGUCGGGCUUGAGUGCAGGAGAGGUAAGCGGAAUUCCCGGUGUAGCGGUGAAAUGCGUAGAGAUCGGGAGGAACACCAGUGGCGAAGGCGGCUUACUGGACUGUAACUGACGCUGAGGCGCGAAAGUGUGGGGAGCAAACAGGAUUAGAAACCCGAGUAGUCC
rnacentral:rRNA from 1 species